rnacentral:tRNA from 1 species
GGGCCCAUAGCUCAGUUUGGUAGAGCACCCGGCUCAUAACCGGCAGGUCCCUGGUUCGAGGCCAGGUGGGCCCACCA